UUUCUGCAGCCACAGCAGGCACCGUGAUUCUCCAGCGGCUUAGCUUUACUCUUGAACAGAUGCCAACAAGUGAUGUGAAUGUGUUGUUUGGCCUUUGGGGUGCAGAACCAACAAUUAGAAGGCCUUUAGACCAGCAAGUCAUAGGACACUCCCUAACAUGUUUUCCUGGUCGAGUGAGCACCAAUCUUUCGCAGUUGCUUGACUAGGGAACCCAGCCAAAGGUAGAUUUCUUUGUUUGAGAAGUCUGCCGGCUUCUGCCAAAGCAGUCGUGUUUCAUCCCUAGAAGAAACAGCACUUGCUUGCUUCCUUUCAGCUGAUCUGAAGCAGGAUCCAUUUCCAUCCACCAUGAAGCAUCUGAUGAUCUUGUUAUUUGUUCUGGCUGUCAUCUGCAGUGUAAGGACUCAGGUAACCCCAGAGCCAGUGACUUUGAAAAAGAAGAAGCCAGGUUGCCCUUUUGGUACUUACCGAAGAUCAGCUGCUGAGGGAGAAGAUAUGAGUGGCAUUUCAAAGGCUGAGAAUGACAAGGACCUCAAGUUCUGAUGGGAGCAUGGAGCAGGUGAAGAGGCAACUCUGGUCAUGGAAAACUGAAAAGCAAACUAGAAUCAACCCAAAUGCCAAGCAGGUUCACCAAAAUAUCUCAAAGGCCUAGUAAAUGCCACCUCUGCUUCCUUCUUCCUUUAACCCAGAACCCAGAUUUCAUGGGCACCCCAAACAACACCCCAUUGCCUCAGAGAACCUGCCAGAACCAUGAAAUGGCAAAUAAAUCAUGACCUUCA